rnacentral:snRNA from 1 species
GGAUGUGAGGGCGAUCUGGCUAUGACAUCUGUCUCCCCAUUGAUUGCACAUCUUGUCACCUCAUUCAUCGCCAGGGUUGAUUCAACUGAUCUGGCUGGCUGGGUGGGUGUCCCCCUCCUCCCUCACCAAUCCAGGUGUGUCCCUCCUGAGGCUGUGGAUAGAGUAAAGAGGAGAACCUUCCCCCAGAGAAGAGGACCAGUCUUCGGUCAAGGGUAUAUGAGUAGCUGCACUCCCCUGCUAGAACCUCCAAACAAGCUCUCUCAAAAUGUAACUCACUUGCCAAUUCUCACUCACAACCAUUACAAU